AUUGAACGCUGGCGGCAGGCCUAACACAUGCAAGUCGAGCGGAUGAAGGGAGCUUGCUCCUGGAUUCAGCGGCGGACGGGUGAGUAAUGCCUAGGAAUCUGCCUGGUAGUGGGGGAUAACGUCCGGAAACGGGCGCUAAUACCGCAUACGUCCUGAGGGAGAAAGUGGGGGAUCUUCGGACCUCACGCUAUCAGAUGAGCCUAGGUCGGAUUAGCUAGUUGGUGGGGUAAAGGCCUACCAAGGCGACGAUCCGUAACUGGUCUGAGAGGAUGAUCAGUCACACUGGGACUGAGACACGGUCCAGACUCCUACGGGAGGCAGCAGUGGGGAAUAUUGGACAAUGGGCGAAAGCCUGAUCCAGCCAUGCCGCGUGUGUGAAGAAGGUCUUCGGAUUGUAAAGCACUUUAAGUUGGGAGGAAGGGAAGUAAGUUAAUACCUUGCUGUUUUGACGUUACCAACAGAAUAAGCACCGGCUAACUUCGUG
rnacentral:rRNA from 1 species